CUAGCAACCGGGAGCUAACGUUAGCUUCUAUGCUAAUCACGGCCUUUAACUUUUUUUUAGUUACACUGAUUAAAAAGGGUAUUUCUCAAAUAAUGUUAUGCUUUUUUAGUCAUUAGUGUGCCAUCACAAGUGGGUACAAGCAUAAGAUAAUUCCUCAGCUGUCUCGGGUUAAAAUUAUUUGAGAUGAUUAGCCUGAACCGGCAGGCAGCAGGCAGAGGCCCGGGGGCGCAGGCUCAGCCAAGCGGAUGGGGGGAGGCAACACAACAACACGCCUUGGCAGGCGAAGAGGGGAAGAUGAGGGAUGAUGCUGCUGCUGCUGCUGCUGCUUCUGCUACUUAUCCUCAGCCUGCAAAAUCCUGAGAGGGAGCUUGUCUCUUUUUUCCUUUUCAAGCUGAAAGGCACUGAUGACUGCCAGGAAAGCUCAUCACAUCGGUUUGGGAUGUACGGAUCAAAUUCUCCUGGGACUCCAAACUGGACUUGUUGCUCUGUCGAGGACUUGGAGGAUAAAAGGAAUAAAAAUCGACUUAAUGUGGCAUUUAAUUCACUAUUUCUGUGAAGCAUUUGUAUUGUUUUUUAGCCUGCAUUUUCCUCUCCAUCAUUAAUUCACAUUUUGAUCCUCAUCACAUACAGAAGCAAAAUCAUAAAUGGAA